rnacentral:rRNA from 1 species
GACGAACGCUGGCGGCGUGCUUAACACAUGCAAGUCGAACGGAAAGGCCCUGCUUUUGUGGGGUGCUCGAGUGGCGAACGGGUGAGUAACACGUGAGUAACCUGCCCUUGACUUUGGGAUAACUUCAGGAAACUGGGGCUAAUACCGGAUAGGAGCUCCUGCUGCAUGGUGGGGGUUGGAAAGUUUCGGCGGUUGGGGAUGGACUCGCGGCUUAUCAGCUUGUUGGUGGGGUAGUGGCUUACCAAGGCUUUGACGGGUAGCCGGCCUGGGAGGGUGACCGGCCACGUUGGGCCUGGGAUACGGCCCAGACUCCUACGGGAGGCAGCAGUGGGGAAUAUUGCACAAUGGGCGGAAGCCUGAUGCAGCAACGCCGCGUGCGGGAUGACGGCCUUCGGGUUGUAAACCGCUUUCGCCUGUGACGAAGCGUGAGUGACGGUAAUGGGUAAAGAAGCACCGGCUAACUACGUG